GGAGUUAUGGUCAGUAAGAUGGGAUUAAAAACUUCUCAGAAAUGAUCAGACAUGGGAUUACUAAGACAAAGGCAUCACUCCUUUAAACAUAGAGAAGCAUGGAUGCUGGUCUGCAGGCUGUGGCACUAAUGACCCCUCAUACACCAGCGACCACCGCACUACAGCAAACACCAGCUGCUCUCUCUCUCUCUCUCUCUCUCUCUCUCUCUCUCUCUCUCUCUCAGUGUGCUCCCUCCUCUCCUCUCGGCGGUCAGUCGCUGCUCUGUCAGUCAUCACAGUAUUGUAAUCGAUUUGUUGUGAAUCGGAUCGAUCAGUUAUCGGAGCGGGAUGAAGCUCCUCUGCAGCGGAUCGAUCCCCUUCCCCCUGCUGCUCCUCUGCCUUCCAGACCCACAAAGAAUCCUGAACGCCCCCGCUCGCUGCCCUGCUCGAUAAAGGCGGUAAAAGAGCGAGCGUAUGAGGGAGACUGAUACAAGCUGCAGAUUUAACCUGUCCAAUCCUGGUAUCAGCAGCUCUGGCCUCGUGAAAAACCAGGACAACGGUGUCUGAAAAAAUUCAACCGAUCAGAUUCAUUUCGGGAAACACAUCUUUUAGUUUGGAG